GGAAAGAGGUCUUCUUAUUAGAGUGGGAGGCUCAGCUUAUGGACCCCAGCACAUGACCUCACUUCCUUGGCAACAGGUCCAAACAGAACUCGGAACAGUCUAGCGACGGCGGCCUAACAGUCACUUGGCUGGAGAGAGUCAGCAGCGAACAUGCUGCGCGGCUUUCCCAGGCCUCGAGGCCGCAGCCUCAGGACCCCGCCCAGGGAAUGCACUUGGGGAUGAGUGAGAGGAUGGAUCACUGAGUCCAGACGCUCCAGGCCACUGGCCAGGAACCUUCCUGCCCUCGUGGGCAGCACAGGGCAGGUCUCACCAGACCCAGCGACCACUGGCCCUGAGAUGAGAGGGAAUCCAGGGCAGGUCUCCCUAGGUCUGACCACCAGACCGUUGGAGCAACUGAAGAUUGGAAAUCAGGCGGCCCAGAGCCUGGCAGAGGUCUGCACAGUGAGGACAGCACAGGCAGGCGUGCCGCACACCCUGACAGAGCCCCCGGAGGAGGCCUUCCUGGACAGCUGGCCCAUCGAUGGGCCCUCCUUCCCAUGCCCCAGAGGGGCCUGCAUUUCCUCCCCACAGGAGGGGAUGGUCGGAAGCUCCGUGUCCUCUGUGCUUGGCUCCUUGCCAGAGCUGCACUCCCAGGAGAAUCCCCCAGCUGAACUCCUGGCCCAGUGAGAGCAUGCUGAGCCCACUGAGGCAGAGCCCAAAGGUGAGGAGGACUGGGAUAUGGGCCUGUGGGUAUGAGGGAAGGGAUGGGCCUUUGAACACAGCAAAGCUUCCAGGUGCUGGGGUGACCCAAGAACACCGAGACUCUCUCAGUCACUGGGUGGAUUUGCUUGGGGAGGACUUCCUAGGGCUGAGGUGGUGCACAGAGCUUUCUUUGAGAGGCAGUGGAAAGGUUUCGCCCCAGGAAGGGACACAGAUAGUUGGUGAUCUUUUCUUCCCUUCCAGCUGCAGGAGCAGCUCCAGCCCAAGCUGAAGUCCCAGCUGCAGAGCCUGUGCCAGCUCUACCUGCAGCUCCCUCCCCAGCUCUGCCACCGCAGCCAGAGCCAGCACCAGGAACUCCUCCUCCAGCUGCACAGCUGAUGCUGCCGCUGGUGGCUCCUCAGCAGGUCUCAGCUCCUGACCUCCCACUGGAGCCAGCUCCUGCCCCACCACAGCCGUUCCCCUCCCAGGCAGAUUUACUUAUUAUUGCCUUUAUUGUUGCCCUUAUUUCCCAGAGGUAUGUCAAUGCUAGAAUUAAUUAUAAUAUAAUUUAAGAUUUUAGUGUUGUUUAAAACAAUCAGCUUGGUGGCAUGAAGUGCCUUCGCAGUGUUGUGCACCCGUCACCACUGUCCAGGUUCAGAGCAUUUUCCUCAGUGCUGUAUCCGUGAGUGGUUUCUCCCCUCUCCCCUGCUGCUAGUUCCUGGCCACCACUCAUUUUAUGUCCCUGCAAUUUAUCUACUGUACAUUUUUCACUUCAGGGUAAUCAGAUUUUUCUAUGGCCACAGAAUCUUGGAAGGGACAGAUGAAAAAAUGCUAGACAGAGCCCACUGCUUUCUCAUUCAUAUAUUCAGUAGAAUAGCCAGUAAUUCUUUUCAGACAAGAAGUACUUAUUACAGUGAAAUAUGGAAUCCAAUACGAAUGAAUAAUAUCAGGACCUAGUGACCCAGGGAUCGUGGCUUCCCCCUGAGGUGCUCCCCUUCCUGUGUGCAUCUCAGGAUUCAGGCUGUGUCUCACAUGGUGGGUGAGGGUGUGUCAGGCCACAGCUCCCCUGUCAUCUCAUGUACACACUGGGGACAUGGCCCCACCAUGCUCCAUUCCUCGACACAUUCAGUGGCCAUGAUGCCAUAUUUGUCUCAGCAAACUCUGCUCUAGACAGUUUCCAAAUUUUCCUGCCCAUUUCAGAGCUGAAAGGAACAUCUGCAUCUGUAGCUCUCACUUUUUAAGAUGGAAUCCUGACAGUGGAGCCUCUGAGUCACAGUCACAGAAGCGGAGGUGGCGACAGGGUCACUUCCAUGCGGGGGAGCAGGGAGAACAGGUGGAGCACACAGUUCCCUGGGCACAGAACUCCAGGGUGACCUCUAGGAAAUGCAGCUCUUCUGGCUUUCAGGGGGAACUUGGUGAUAGCAAAUCCCUGCUGACAUUGCCACAGGGAGGAACAGGACAGCACAGCCCCACCUCUCAUACUUGAAAAUGGA
rnacentral:lncRNA from 1 species